rnacentral:lncRNA from 1 species
CUUUUUUUUUUUUUUUUUUUUUGUCUUUUUUGCUCUUUCUUGGGCCGCUCCCGUGGCAUAUGGAGGUUCCCAGGCUAGGAGCUGUAGCCACCGGCCUACGCCAGAGCCACAGCAACGCGGGAUCUGAGCCACAUCUGCAACCUACACCACAGAUCACGGCAACCCCGGAUCAUUAACCCACUGAGCGAGGGCAGGGACCGAACCCACAACCUCAUGGUUCCUAGUCAGAUUCGUUAACCACUGCGCCACGACGGGAACUCCGAUGUCUUUUUUUUUUAACAUCUUCAUAUUUAGAUCUGUAAUCUGGCUUAUUUAAGUGACUGCUUUCCAAUUGUUGUUUUCUCCAUCCUAGAUUUCCCUCUUUUUGUUUUUUAAUUUAGUGAAGCCCUUUCAGUAUUUCUUUUAGAAUGGGUUUUGUAUUGCUGUACCCUUUUAGCUUUUGUUUGUUGGCGAAAUUCUUUAUUUCCCCUUCUGUUUUAAAUGAUAUUCUUGUUGGAUAGAUGUUAUAGGUUGCAAAUUUUUACCCUUCAGCACUUUAAAUAUAUCUUGCCACUCCCUUCUGGCCUGUAGUGUUUCUGUAGAGAAAUCAGCUGAUAGCCUUAUGGGGGUUCCCUUAUAAUUAAUGCUUUGCUUUUCUCUUGCUGCCUUUAGAAUCCUCUCUUUAACUUUUGCCAUUUUUAUUAUAAUAUGCCUUGGUGUGGGCCUGUUUGGGUUCUGCUUGUUUGGGGCCCUCUGUGCUUCCUGUAUCUUGAUAUCAGUAUGCUUUAGAUUUGGAAAGUUUUGAGCUAUAAUUUCUUCAAAUAUAUUUUCAAUCCCCUUUUCUUCUUCUUUUCCUUCUGGAAUUCCUAUUAUGCAUAUAUUGGCCUGCUUUAUAUUAUCCCAUAGGUCUCUUAUAUUGCUUUCAUGUUUUUUCAUUUGGUUUUCUGUCUGCUGUCCUGACUGGGUGAUUUCCAUUAUUCUUCCACAUCACUAAUUCGUUCCUAUGCAUUUUUCAUUCUGCUCUUUAUUGCCUUAAGCUCAGUUUGUAUUUCUGCAAAUGAAUUUUCUAGUUUUUCUUGGCUCCUCCUUAUAUUUUCUAGGUCCUUUCUAAAGGAAUCUGCAUUACUGUUAAUAUCCUCUCAAUUUCUUCAGGACUUUCAAUACCUCCCUUUUGAACUCAUGUCUGACAGACUGCAGAGGUCUGUAUCAUUGUUGACUGCUUUAGGUGAAUUCUCCUGUUGCUUUAACUGGGAAUGCUUUCUGUGCUUCUUCAUCUUGCUUGUGUUUUUCUUUUUCUGUGAGUUUGGGGAAGCCAAACUGUAGUCUUGUAAGACUACUUCUAUGCAAGAAUACCCUUUUGUGUUUUUCAGAGGGUUACUAUUUAUUUUUGGUGUGGGAGUUUGAAUAUUUGCUGUCUCUUUCUUCAGUUUGAGCAGGCUGUUGUUCCCAGAAUGCUCAGUGUGUUUUCAGGGAGACGGAGGCAAUGGGUAGGGCCAGAAGUCAGUGCCGAGUUGUUUGGCUCUCAAUAACAGCAAGGACCUGCAGGAUGGUGCCACAGGCUACUUCUAGUUGCAGGGUAGACAUCUUCUCAUAUGUUUUUUUGCCACCUGUAUAUCUUACCACAGCUUCUUUAGCCAUUCAUCCAUCAAUGGAUAUGUAUGGAUACUUGGGUUGUUUAUCUGCCUUGGGUAUUGUAAAUGAUGUUGUUAAGAACAUGCCUAUAAAAUUGGAUUGUGAUGAUCAUUGUAUAACUAUAAAUGUAAUAAAUUCCUUGAGUAAUUUAAAAAAAGAACAUGGAGGUACAGUUAUAUUUUUGAGUUUGUUUCUGUCUGUUUUAGAUAUAUUUCUAGAAGUUGAAUUGCUAAAUCAUAUGGUAAUUCUAUCCCUAAAUAUUCAAAGAUCUUCUAUAUGGUGUUCCAUGGUAGCUAUACCCGUUUAAAAUCCCACCAACAGUGCACAAGUGCUCCUUGUCCUCCAUAUCCUUGCCAUAAUUUAUCUCCGGUCUUUUUGAUGGUGGCUUUUAAAAAUUCCAAUGUCUGAGGUCUUAAAAAUGAAACUUAAUAAUUCAAACUGUUACCCAGAGGCUGUAUAGAAAGAAUUACAAAAUAUAAAAUUAAAUUUUAUUGUAUGUAUAACGUGUGAAGUGAAUUUCCCGUAAAGAUGAGCUUGUUUUCUUUAUUGUUUGUUUCUGUGUUUUAAGAGUAAACUUUGGGAAAGUUCUGAGUACAUUUUAAUUUGGAUAAUAUAUAUCAUAUCAAAAAGAACUCCAAAAUGUAUGCCUGUCUUAUGUCAAAUGGUGUCCUUAAAGAGGUCCUACAGUGGAGGCUGAUAUUACCAUAAUUUACUCUAAUAUGCUUCUCUUUAACCUCUCUCUCCCUGUCUCUCUCUCUCCUUUCCUUCUUUCUUUCCUUCUCUUCCCAUUCUUUUCCUUUCCUAUCUUCCUCAUUCAUCCUUCUUUCCCUCCCUGUCAUUUCUUCUUCUUGACCAAAUUUCAAAUUGAAUCUACCUAGAAUAGAAAAGGAGAUUUUUGUAUUGUAUAUCAAUAGAUACUAUUCAUCUUUUCCCCUCUUUAUGGACUCACUGAAAGUGGAAGAGAGGAGUGGAGAGCAGACCAGUGAUUUCACACAAAUAUUCUUUCUGCAUUAAAUCAUUUGUGUAUUGAGAUAUAGUUUAUAAAAAUGCACACACACACACCAUACACAUACACACAAAAUGUGUAUGCUCUCACACUGUGAAAUAGAUAGUAAUUUUCAAACUUCUGCCCUUAAAAUUAAAUAAGGCCUAGUACAAAUAUUUUUCAAUGACAAAUUGAAUAACACACAAAAAAAUGAAGGUGCCAUAUAUCUGAUGCAUCUAUGGGUAAGCCAGCACCUAAUUCUACUCCAUAGCAAUAUUUAAGAACCCUAUCCUUCAAGUCUUUACAAUUUCCAUAAUAAAGAAAAGGAGAAACUUUUCUUUUUUUUGAGAGCCUCUUCAAACCUAGUUUCUUUGCCACUCAAGG